UGCACGUGUUAAAAAACCAAGCAGCCAGGACACCGGACACAAAAAAUCCUACUGAACUUUCAACUCUUGUCCGUCACAUAUAUAAUAACAUUGGAGAGCAGCUUCAGUGGAAGGUCCGGCCAACCGACCAUUUCAGAACAAAGCACAACGAGGAGGUGACUGCAACAGUGGUGCAAGCAGUGAAGGACGUGGAACCAAAUUGGAGUUACCAUCAAGUUCGAAGAGCCUGUAAUCGAGCUUUUGAAAAUAUCAAGUCCAGAGAGCGAAUGGAGAGAGAUGGAAGGAAAGAUGACGUCAAGAGGAGGAAACUCCUAACUAGUAGGCGUGAUCGGGUGAGUUUUCCUAUCUGAAUAAUGGUUUUGAUUAAUUUAAUAAGAUCAUUGCAUGGUCCAUUUAAACAAAAUUAUUUAUGUUUAUGUGUAGAAGUUUAUAAUACUUUAUAUUCUCCAGUCUGCUAGUGUUUUUUAUAUUGUAUUUGUAGUACAAAAUUUUUGGAAAGCCAUAAUCUGACCUAGUGUGGCUAUCACCUGUUAUACCUAAACUGCUUGGCACUGAGUUUGCAUAUAGACACACGUACAAAUACAAAAUGCAUAAGCUGUUUUUUCUUAUUAUAAAAAGAAAAUAAUUGUCUCUUCAAGCGUUGGACGAAAAGAGAAAAAAGGGUAUAGAGCCAAGGUCAACUCACACAAGACAAUUUUACGGCAAGGAACCCACCACCUGUGAACUCUUCUGCCAACUAUCUGGCAGAAGAGUGGGUCAUGGAGUCUAAAAAAAAAAUAGGUGCAUGUUUGUGUUGUGUUGUGUGCAUAUUUAUGCAGUGUUGUGUGUUUUUCUUUUAAUAAAAUAAUUUGAGUGAAAGCUG